rfam:Pseudooceanicola flagellatus strain CGMCC 1.12644 genome assembly, contig: Ga0171584_122
GCGGGCGUGAUGGAAUGGUAGACAUAUGGCACUUAAAAUGCUUGGGGCGAAAGCCCGUGCCGGUUCGAGUCCGGCCGCCCGCA